UAUACCAUUAAUAUUUAGGUGAAAUCUAAUAGAUAUAUUUGAAGAUCAUUUACUUGUACUGAUCCGUGUUAAAAUCUAAAUAUAUUAAGUAAAUCCUAUAAAUUAUCUUAUUGAUUUAACAUCAACAAAUAAAAUCGAGUAACAUUCGCGGCUAAAGUGAUCACGUGCGCUACACGUCUGCGCGCUUUCCUCAGCAACAAGUCUACACAUCUGCUCUCCGCGCCUCAGAAAUCUUGGUAAGUAACAAUUAGUCGGCUAACGUUAAUUAUACGAAUGUUUGUAGUACUUUUUCAAAUAGUUUAAUAUUAAGAAAUUACUAUUAACGGUUUUUGUAUUUUACUUCAGCUAAGGAACAUCGACUACCUCCACUUCGCGGCUAAGCGGGAGCGAGCUGAACGGUCUCUCUUGAAAAUCCUGCACCUACGCCAAAGAGUUCAAACAUUGGAGUUUGUGAUUUAUGGGAUGGCAAUGUAAGCUCUGCACUUUUGUGGCUUCACGUAAAGGUGCUAUUCUCAAGCAUUAACGGCUGAAUCAUGGUACCUUUGGUCGUGGAUAUUCAGUACCGUGUCUUCAUUUAAACUGUCCAUGCUCCUUUAAGACAUGGGGUGGCCUGCGUAUACACUUGCAUCGAUGUCACAAUUCACAGGAAACUAAGGAUUGUGAAGUGCUAUCAGUGGAAUCUUUAAAAUGUAAACUUUGUGACUCACUUUAUUUCAACACAAAAGACUACUUUAAACACAUCAAUUCCCAUUUGAAGUCACGAAACUGUACAAUGUGUUUUCAAAGGAUGCAAUUUUAAGACAAACAUAUGUGCAGCUUAUGCAACACACAGAAAUCACAAAUCCUGGUCAUUGGAAGAUUUUGAGACUGAUUUGAUUGCAAAACAGCCAGCUUCUACUGACUAUGAAAUCAGCUCUCCAGUGUCACAUGACCAUGUGGACAUAGAUAACACCGAAGAAUUGGAUUGUGAAAGGGAUGCUUCAAGCAAAAUAGCGAAAAAUAUUGGUUCUCUCUUGUUAAAACUGGAAAGCAUCUAUAACGUCUCUGGAAAAUGCAUUGAUGACCUGGUGGAACAGCUUCAGUUUAUUUGCACAUCAUCUACUCAGUAUGUUCCAAAGUUAGUUGAUGAUAUAUUUACAAAGAUUGACUGUGCUGUUGAUCAAGACGUUUUCAGAGAAUUAGUAGAUAAACUGUGUCACUCUAAUCCUUUGAAUGUAGACUUUUGUCCUAAAGGUCCUUUCACUACAAAAUUGAAGAGGGAAAAGUAUUUUAAAGAAAACUUUAAUGUGACUGAGCCAGUAGAGUAUAUUUUGGAUCAAGAGGAGAAUCACAGCUUUCAGUACAUUCCUUUUCUUCAAACUUUACCGCACUUGUUAAAUAAUGAAGAUAUUCUAAACCAUAUACUGACUAAACAUUCAAACACUUCGCAUUUGGCAUCCUUCCAUGAUGGUAAAUAUUUCAAGCUAAAUGAAUGUCAUGCUAAAGACGAUUUUAGCAUUUCUGUUAUAGUCUAUGUUGAUGAUUUUGAAAUCUGCAAUCCUCUUGGAUCUUCGCGAAAAAAACCACAAAGUCACAGCAGUGUACUGUGUUCUUGGUGAUGUACCGUCUCAACUGAGAUCACAGCUUACAUCAAUUUAUUUAGCUCUUCUUUGUAAAGCCAAUGAUGUUAAAAAAAAUGGCUAUAACUGUGUUCUGGAGCCAUUUUUGAAAGAACUCUCAACAUUGGAGAAAGAAGGUAUUUUUUUGCCUCAAGUUGGUAGGAAUAUCAGAUGGACUGUUGUUUUUGUUUCAGCAGACAAUCUUGGUGCUCAUUCCUUAAGUGGACUUGUAGAAAGUUUUACUGGACAUUAUAUCUGUAGGUUUUGUAUUGGGGACCAUUCUGACUAUCAGCAGAAGGAAGUACGUUCAGGAGCUUUUCUGCCAAGAACAAAAGAGAACUAUGAUUUGCAUGUUCAAACUGUUCAGAAAGAUCCUGCGUUUUGCACUGUUAUGGCGUGAAGAAAUGUUGUCCCAUCACUGAGAAUUUAAGUCACUUCCAUUUUGUAACCGGAUAUUCUUCAUGAUCUUUUUGAAGGCAUUAUUCCAUUGGAAUUGACAUUGUCUAAAUCUGUUUAUCCACUAGCAGUAUUUCACUUUGACAGAACUUAACAGGGCCAUAACUAAUUUUCCAUACAGAUGGACUGAUAUAAAAAAUACGUUAUUAUUUAAACUCUUUAUUGACUUUGUCUGUAUUGUGUGCACUUUGUUUAUGAAUUCACUUAAAAUAGUGAAAUGAAAGGAAAACGUGUUAAUUUGUUAUAGUUUUGUGUUUCAACAUAACACUGAACAAAAACGGAAAAGCAGUUUUAAAAGCUUUGUUCUUCAGUAAUAAUUUUGUGCACUUUGUUUUUUUAAAGCUGGAGAAGUAGUACUAGGAUAGGGAGAAAUUAUUUUGUUAUAUAUUGGUUUUCUGUUCGGUUAAUCUGUUAUUGUUACUAUUUUCCAGUAAUAAUUUGGUGCAAAGUUCAUGCUUGCUUAUUCUAUUACAGGAAUAAAUUAAUAAAUAAACAUAUUUAUUUGGUUUAAAUUAUGUCCCAUUUUAACCUCUACAUGAUUACAGCCUAUAGGCACAUUAAGAGCACAAAUCACAAAAUAUUUUAGUGGUCAUGAAAAUGUAUUGAGAUUUAGCAAAUCAAUGAUGAAUUUAUCUGAUAAAUGAUGACAUUACAUCCACAAGAAAUUAAAUGUAAAUUCAAGUGAAUUCUUCUUAAAGUAUUGGUAUCAAUAUCAGCAAUUCUGGGUCUGCAUUUACUUUAAUUGUACAGCAUCACAAACCACUGUUUAGAAUCACACAGACAUGUAGAAUCGGUGUAUGAAUCUCAACAAUGGUGACAAUCAAACUAAAGAAAACUUCAUAAUGCAAUGCAUGCUGGGUAACAUCAUGGUAGAAAACUCAUCCAUGAAUACCAGCCUGAGUUAUAGUUGAUCUGUUAAUCUGAAUUAGUCUGUUGAUUGUCACCACUGUUGAGAUUCAGACACACAUUCUUGAUGUCUAUGUGUGUCUGAUCACUGUAGAUUACAGUUUUAUUUGCUUCAAGGUUUCACACGUCUCCUAAAAUUGUGGUUCUCAUACAACUAGUGAUACGUGAUGUGAAACAACAGAAAAUGCAAAACUACAAUACAAUUUCAAAUGUUUAAUAUGCCGCCAUGAUUGAUAAAUACGGUAAACAUCUCAUCCUAUGUGUAAUUAUAAAUAGUUGUAUGUGUUAUUGUUGUUUAUUUAUCAUUGGUGGAUGUGACGGGCAGCUCAAACACUGAGCGGGAGCAGACAGACGCUUGUGAGUCUUUGACUCUUUCUCUUCAGAUGAGCUGCGUUUAAAUGAAGUUUCUUAUGUAUUUCUGCACUUGAAGUGUUGUUUAAAGCUGUUGUUAUUGCUGUAAAGUGCUCAUUCAACAUGUGUCUGCAUCUACUCGAGGUUAAAUCAAUGAAGCGUGCGUUGAGAUGUAUUUUGGAAACGCAACAUUGACAAAAGCCGCUGCAGUAAAGUGUAAUUCUGUUGUUUAUAUACAUCUGUUCUCUUAAAGUAUUUGUGUAUUUAUUUAUCUUCUGUGUUAAAUAUUCUUUCCACAUUGUUUGUCUUUAAUAUAAGUUUGUAGGCUUUCUGGAAGUCCCCAC